rnacentral:rRNA from 1 species
CCAGACUCCUACGGGAGGCAGCAGUGGGGGAUAUUGCACAAUGGGGGGAACCCUGAUGCAGCGACGCCGCGUGGGUGAAGGAGCGUUUCGGCGCGUAAAGCCCUAUCGGCAGGGAAGAAGGAGGACGGUACCUGACUAAGAAGCCCCGGCUAACUACGUGCCAGCAGCCGCGGUAAUACGUAGGGGGCAAGCGUUAUCCGGAUUUACUGGGUGUAAAGGGGGCGCAGACGGCAGCGCAAGCCAGGAGUGAAAGCCCGGGGCCCAACCCCGGGACUGCAUUUGGAACUGUGCUGCUAGAGUGUCGGAGAGGCAGGCGGAAUUCCUGGUGUAGCGGUGAAAUGCGUAGAUAUCAGGAGGAACACCGGUGGCGAAGGCGGCCUGCUGGACUGCAACUGACGUUGAGGCCCGAAAGCGUGGGGAGCAAACAGGAUUAGAUACCCUUGUA